AUAGGACCUCGCCGCCUCUCCUCCUCCUCAUCUUCGCCGGACCUGACUUGUAUGAUGCGACCGUCGAGGCUAUUACUUCUAAUGGUUACCAUGUUGCCUAUGAUGGAUGGGGAAACAAGGAGGAGGUCAAACUGAUGCUAAUUGCGCUUCUAUCUGAAUCUGAACUUAGAGUAUUUGAUGCCACAAUUGAGCUAAUCUUAGAUAAGGGGUGCAGCUUGGUGAAUGCAUUAAAACUUUAAUCCAUGCCGAUUACCCUGAACAGUGGCCUAGCCUUCUUCACUGGAUAACAUGCAACUUACAAUUACAAGACCAACAAGUACAUGGAGCUCUCUAUGUGCUAAGGAUUCUUUCCAGGAAAUAUGAGGUAAUCACUUCUAGAGAGAGCAAGUUGGUGAAGUUGCUACUCAACUUGUGAAGUUUCUAAAAAGCUUUACGUGCAUGCAUAUUGUAUAUAAUUGAGGCACAUUCAUUGGUUGGGAAGUUGGUGAAGUUGCUACUCAACUUGUCAUUCAUUCAUGCCUUGUGCUUCAGUCCAAAUAGGUACUGGCUCCGUGUUGCCACUCAAGAGAGUGUGAAGAUAUGGGAUAUGGAGACUGGAGAGCAAGUCUAUUGUUCAGGAUCUGAAGCCAACUGAUGCCCCUUAGCCAACUUCAUCCAAAAAACAGAGGUUUGGCCUUCCUCAAGGAAUGUAAAUGGAUUGACACGGAGCAUCAUCAGGCCCAAGUUCAUAUUUUGUCAAGAACAUCCUGAGAUUAGAAAUUCCAUUAUUUGUUAAAACUUGAAUUUGAUGGAUAAGGAGGAACCUCCUGUUAUCAAGUCACCUUUCUCUGUUAUCCUUCUGCGUCUUCUUCAUCUUUUCUAUGUAAAAAAGCUGAGGAUGUUUUAAUUUGAUCAAAGGAAUUGAUGAAUGCAUUGUGAUUUUGUCUCAA